GAUGAACGCUGGCGGCGUGCCUAAUACAUGCAAGUCGAGCGAACAGCCCAGGCGCUUGCUCCUCUGACGUUAGCGGCGGACGGGUGUGUAACACGUGGCUAACCUACCUCUAUGACUUGGAUAACUUCGGGAAACCGUAGCUAAUACCGGAUAACAUCUUGAUCCCCAUGGUUCAUUAGUUACUGUCCGUCUUGCUGUCUCUUCUCCAUGUCUCCUGGCCGCAUUCGCUAGUUGGUAAGGUAACGGCUUACCAAGGCAACGAUGGGUAGCCGACCUGAGAGGGUGAUCGGCGACACUGGAAGGGAGACACGGACCAGACUCCUACGGGAGGAAGCAGUAGGGAAUAUUACGCAAUGGGCGAAAGGCUGAAGGAGCAAGGGCGCGUGAGUGAAGAAGGUCUUGGGAUCGGAAAAAAGUGUUAGUAGGGAAGAAAAAAAGUGAAAGAAAAUAUGGACGUAAUGACGGUAACAAAAAAGAAAGCAACGGCUAACUACGUG
rnacentral:rRNA from 1 species